rnacentral:rRNA from 3 species
CGGAAGAGAUAAGUGCUGAAAGCAUCUAAGCACGAAACUUGCCCCGAGAUGAGUUCUCCCUGAGACUUUAGGUCUCCUGAAGGAACGUUGAAGACGACGACGUUGAUAGGCCGGGUGUGUAAGCGCAGCGAUGCGUUGAGCUAACCGGUACUAAUGAACCGUGAGGCUUAACCUUACAACGCCGAAG